rnacentral:tRNA from 1 species
GUUCUCAUAGUGUAGCGGUUAUCACGUCGGCCUCACACGCUGAAUGUCCUCAGUUCGAUCCUGGGUGAGAACA